GACGAACGCUGGCGGCGCGCCUAACACAUGCCAGUCGAGCGAGCGAGAGGAGGUUUACUUUCUCAAGCGAGUGGCGAACGGGUGAGUAACGCGUGAGGAACCUGCCUCAAAGAGGGGGACAACAGUUGGAAACGACUGCUAAUACCGCAUAAGCCCACGACCCGGCAUCGGGUAGAGGGAAAAGGAGCAAUCCGCUUUGAGAUGGCCUCGCGUCCGAUUAGCUAGUUGGUGAGGUAAUGGCCCACCAAGGCGACGAUCGGUAGCCGGACUGAGAGGUUGAACGGCCACAUUGGGACUGAGACACGGCCCAGACUCCUACGGGAGGCAGCAGUGGGGAAUAUUGCACAAUGGGGGAAACCCUGAUGCAGCGACGCCGCGUGGAGGAAGAAGGUCUUCGGAUUGUAAACUCCUGUUGUUGAGGAAGAUAAUGACGGUACUCAACAAGGAAGUGACGGCUAACUACGUG
rnacentral:rRNA from 1 species